rnacentral:rRNA from 1 species
GAUGAACGCUGGCGGCGUGCCUAACACAUGCAAGUCGAGCGGACAGACGAGGCGUUUGCUCCGCUGACGAUUGGCGCGCGCGUGUGUAAUACAUGUGGAUAACCCCCUUAUCAGAGUGGGAUCAUCUGGAAACAGGGGAUAUAACACCGGAGAAUAUCUUGAACCACAGGGGGGACUGGUGAAAUACGGCUUUGGGGUCACUCAUCGAUGGAUCCGCGCCGCAUUAGGUAGUUGGUAGGGUAACGGCCUACUAAGGCGACGAUGCGUAGGCGAACUGAGAGGCGGAUCGGCCACACUGGAACUGAGACACGGUCCAGACUCCUACGGGAGGCAGCAGUAGGGAAUGUUGCGCAAUGGGCGAAAGCCUGACGGAGCAACGCCGCGUGUGUGAAGAAGGCCUUCGGAUCGUAAAGCCCUGUUAUUAGGGAAGAACAACUUUGUCAUUAAACGUGCCGGUCUUGACGGUACCGGAUCAAAAAGCAACGGCUAACUACGUG